rnacentral:tRNA from 1 species
ACCUGUCUGGCUCAGUUGGUGGAGCAUAUGACUCCUGAUCUCAGGAUUAUGAGUUCAGUCCCCAUGUUGGGUA